rnacentral:rRNA from 1 species
CAGUCGCCACGGUAAUACGGAGGGUGCAAGCGUUAAUCGGAAUUACUGGGCGUAAAGUGCACGCAGGCGGUCUGACAAGUCAGAUGUGAAAUCCCCGGGCUUAACCUGGGAACUGCAUUUGAAACUGUCAGGCUGGAGUCUUGUAGAGGGGGGUAGAAUUCCAGGUGUAGCGGUGAAAUGCGUAGAGAUCUGGAGGAAUACCGGUGGCGAAGGCGGCCCCCUGGACAAAGACUGACGCUCAGGUGCGAAAGCGUGGGGAGCAAACAGGAUUAGAUACCCGGGUAGUCCCUGUCUCUUAUAC